UACGUAUGGUGCAAGCGUUAUCCGGAUUUACUGGGUGUAAAGGGAGCGUAGGCGGCGCGUUAAGUCUGAUGUGAAAACCCGAGGCUCAACCACGGGAGUGCAUUGGAAACUGGCGGGCUGGAGUGCCGGAGAGGUAAGCGGAAUUCCUAGUGUAGCGGUGAAAUGCGUAGAUAUAUGGAGGAACACCGGUGGCGAAAGCGGCUCUCUGGCCUGUAACUGACACUGAGGCUCGAAAGCGUGGGGAGCAAACAGG
rnacentral:rRNA from 1 species